AUGGGGAAAUGCGUGGGAGGCACGGGCAGGGGUUCUUGGGUGCUGUGGGUCCAGUGUCUUCGUCUGGGAGACGUCACGUGGAUGUGUGUGUUCACUGUCGCAACAGCCUUUGAACUGUGCGCGGGGUGGUGCACUUCAUCAAAAGAAUGUUUAGUUAGAGCAAAACGGAGCACACGCCUGUUUGUCGCAGCAGUAUUCCCGGCAGCUCAAACACGGAAGCAGCCCAAGGUGAUCAGCAGAAUGUGUCUAUCCAUAGAGUGCAUGAGACUGGAAGAGCAUCUCUCCUUCAGACUGUGCGCUAUGGUGCGGCCGGGGCUGCUGGGGGCUCCUCUGGACCAGACUGUGCAGGGAGGGUCACCCUCAGGCAGGAAGAGGGAAAGGCACGCAUGGCGUGCAUGCGUGUGUGUGUGUGUGUGUGUGUGUGUGUGUGUGUCUGUGUGGGUGGUGUGGGUGUGUGGCUUGUUAUAUAUAUUGUGUACAUGUGGUUUGUGUGGGUGGUGCGUGUGCGUGUGUGUGUGUGUGUGGUGGUGGUAUGUGUGUGUUGUUUGUAUAUGCGUGUGUGUACUGCGGCUUCUGUGGUAUGUGUGGUGUGGUGUGUGUGUGGGUUUGUGUCUGUGUGUGGUGUGUGUGUAUGUGUGUGUGUCUGUGGUCUGCAUCCUUUGUGUGGGUGGUGUGGGUGGUUGACGGAGGUGGGGCCAGGGCCCCCCUUGUGUGUCACCCCCCUCUGAGCUGUCACAGGAACCAGGAAGUCUGAGCAACCCUCCGCCUCCAGACCAGAGGCACGUCCCGCGUGACCCCGUGUGGAAAUGUCCUCCGAGACUCCGUGGCUGGCAUGUCAGGUGUGGCCGGACUGGCCCACAUGGGCCCCCCUUUGCCCCCCACGACUGCCCUGGGAGAUCCCACCCAGCGGCCGCACAGGCGCUGAGGAGGGCGAGGAGGGCGCGGAAGCCGCGGGGCCUUUGCCAACAGCCGGGACCCCCUGGCUCCGCGCGGCAAGCGAGCGCCUCACUCCCAGCGUCUCUGCCUCUCUUUCAGCUGCUCAGAAAGAGCUCGGAUCAGCGUCGCACCGGACGCGUCCAACGUGCCAUCAGGAAAACCUCCCAUCUCCCGCCGACCCGCGGUGCAGGCCCCUCGACCCAUCAGAGAGGAAACCGCAGUUGGGCUCGUAGGACGUGAGGCUGUCCUGGAGCUUUGCCACGAAAGAGCCACUGGGGCUCCAGGCAAAACCAGGGCCAGGGGAGGGGGGAGGGCGAGCGAAGCUUCUUCCAGAAGGAACAGAUUUGUGCGGGUACUUUGAUCCUGCUAUGAUUUUUAUUUGUUUUAGCCACAUCCUUUUCACUGCGCCACCCCGCUAAAGGUGCUUUAAAUCAGAUGGAGCUAGGAACCCCUCCCCCGCCUCCCUCCCUGCCCGCCUCCCAGGCCUCGGUCUUCAAUCAGUGCGAGAAGGAUAACCACGCCAGGCUCCAAUGUCGCUGGAAUAAAUCGAGACAAAUAAAUAAACUCA
rnacentral:lncRNA from 1 species